AUGCGCUAUUUGAAAGGCACCGCGAGCUAUGGGAUUCACUACACCGGGUAUCCAAGGGUACUGGAGGGUUACAGUGACUCAAACUGGAUUUCUGAUGCUGAUGAGAUAAAGGCCACAAGUGGUUAUGUUUUUACACUUGGUGGUGGUGCUGUUUCCUGGAAACAUGUGAAGAGGAGACUAAAACCUGUCAGAAAUUUGAGGAACUCCGGAGUUAUUACGUUGGAUUAUAUCCAAACGUCGAAAAACUUGGCAGAUCCCUUCACAAAGGGUCUAUCACGUAAUGUGAUAGAUAAUGCAUCGAUGGAGAUGGGUUUGAGACCCACCGCAUGA
rnacentral:rRNA from 1 species